UUACAAUAUGCUGAUGAUAUAAUUGUUCUUCAUAAUGCAGAUAAAGGCAAGCAGCCAAUUUAAAAUUCCUACUAUACACCUUCGAGAUCCUUACUAGACUUAAGAUAAAUUUUGAAAAAAGUGCUUUGUACAUGACUGGACUCAAUGAGAUGCAGAGUAAAGGAUUUGUAAAAAUUCUUAGAUGUUAUGCCACAAAAUUCUCCAUCAAAUACCUUAGCUUCCCUCUCCAAUCAACAAAAUCAAGACCAG
rnacentral:lncRNA from 1 species